rnacentral:rRNA from 1 species
GCUUGCUGCUGCUUUAUACAUGCAAGUCGAACGGAGGCCCUAGCUUGCUAGGUGUCCUUAGUGGCGCACGGGUGAGUAACACGUGGGAACAUACCUUAUAGUACGGAAUAACUGCGGGAAACUGUAGCUAAUACCGUAUACUCCAGUAAUGGGAAAGAUUUAUCGCUAUAAGAUUGGCCCGCGCAAGAUUAGCUUGUUGGUGAGGUAAAAGCUCACCAAGGCUUCGAUCUUUAGCUGGUUUGAGAGGACGAUCAGCCACACUGGGACUGAGACACGGCCCAGACUCCUACGGGAGGCAGCAGUAGGGAAUAUUGGACAAUGGGGGCAACCCUGAUCCAGCAAUGCAGCGUGAGUGACGAAGGCCUUAGGGUUGUAAAACUCUUUCAUCGGUGAGGAUAAUGACAGUAGCCGAAGAAGAAGGACCGGCUAAUUCCGUGCCAGCAGCCGCGGUAAUACGGAAGGUCCUAGCGUUGUUCGGAAUUACUGGGCGUAAAGCGCAUGUAGGCGGAACAGAAAGUUAGAAGUGAAAUCCCUGGGCUCAACCUAGGAAUUGCUUUUAAAACUUCUGUUCUGGAAUUCAGGAGAGGAAAAUGGAAUUUCCAGUGUAGAGGUGAAAUUCGUAGAUAUUGGAAGGAACACCAGUGGCGAAGGCGAUUUUCUGGACUGAUAUUGACGCUGAGAUGCGAAGGCAUGGGUAGCAAACGGGAUUAGAUACCCCGGUAGUCCAUGCAGUAAACGAUGGGUGCUAGUCGUCGGACUUUUGUUCGGUGUCGUAGCUAACGCGUUAAGCACCCCGCCUGGGGAGUACGGUCGCAGAUAAACUAAUGAUGCG